AUGGACUUCCCGCAGAAGAAGCUUGGCUCCAUGGACGGUGGCAAGACGCCUCCUCUGCUGCUUGCGGUUGCGGCCCAGCUGGCCAAGAAGGCGAUAGCCGCUUCUCCGUUCCCGGAUGCACAGCGGCUGGCCAGCGCUUGGGCGUUCAUCACCGCCUGGUUCUUCCCCGUCUCCAUCGCCUUCGACCUUCUACUCUGCAGCCAGCUGCUGUGGUGCCAUUUUCUGGAGCGCGAGUGGGACCCGCCCAUAGACGGCGCCCUCUGGAUCGGGCUGUGGUGCUGUCCCGCACUCCAUGUCAAGCAUUGUAUAAUACGGUGUAUCUAUAAACCGUAUCUAGCUAUAGAUUGCGUGCGUGUGUUUGUUGUAGUUGUGUUAGGAUAG
rnacentral:rRNA from 1 species